AUUUAUGUGUAAACAGAUGGCCAGGGUUAGCACUAAGUGGUCAAAGAUUUGCCUUUCAUUGGUGAAUUUAAGAACAGAUGUCCAGCCGUCUUUAAUGAGGAUGUCCCCAUCGAAAAAAGACGUGAAUGCAUCCUAAAAGCCCUCGUUGUUUAUGUGAAUGAAGACCCCUCAGACCUUGUGAAGGAGUACAUGGAUGUUGAACAUGAUGAAGCCCAAACCUCGAUGCGCAACACCACCCUAGGAAGCUACGUCAUCAAACCUGAAGGGGCACAUGCCACAGACCCUUACCAAUAUGUUGGCAUCAUAGUUGAAGGCAUCAAAAUACUUGAAAACCUAAACAAUGUUGCCGAAGCAUGUUCUAUGAUGCUUGGUCUAAUUUAUGCAUUAAACUUGGCCUAUACACAAGACUUCAGAUACACAUUUGAAACAUUUUAAAAGCUUUUUAUGGAGCUAAAUGCCAACAAUCUGUCAAACAAGGUCCAUGUCCUGAAAAAUAAACUUCUUUUGUAAGUAUUUACUCGAAGUAAUGUUCAAGAGGUGGUACUUAUGUUUCCUCAAUGAUGUUACACUGUUGGCUUGUUACAGCACAUUUGUUCCAGGACUGACCAUGUUACACUUUUUUCAUUAUCGAUCUCGUUUUAAAUAAAUGCUUUAUUUUUUCCCAAUUUAAAGGAGGCACAGAUUGCAAGAGAGACUUUUCACCCACCUAAUUUAAUUUAUAGGCAAUGCUUUUAUUUUUUUGAAUUUUACAGUCUGCUUUUAAUAAUAAGAAAACAGAAAGCAGUUUUAAAGAUACAGAUUUUGAACAAAUAAUUUUCGUUGGACAUUUGUAAAAGGUAUGUUCUUGAAUACAUUAAGUGCAUUUACAGUGUAUUAGUUGAAAAAUGUACUGCUUACUUUUGAAGAAGAAAGUGUUUGACUUCAGUGUGGGGGGAAUGUUGUAUGGUGAG